AACGCUGGCGGCGUGCCUAAUACAUGCAAGUCGAGCGAAUGACGAAGAAGCUUGCUUCUUCUGAUUUAGCGGCGGACGGGUGAGUAACACGUGGGCAACCUGCCCUGUAGAUUGGGAUAACUCCGGGAAACCGGGGCUAAUACCGAAUAAUCCAUUUCCUCACAUGUGGAGAUGUUAAAAGACGGUCUCGGCUGUCACUACAGGAUGGGCCCGCGGCGCAUUAGCUUGUUGGUGAGGUAACGGCUCACCAAGGCGACGAUGCGUAGCCGACCUGAGAGGGUGAUCGGCCACACUGGGACUGAGACACGGCCCAAACUCCUACGGGAGGCAGCAGUAGGGAAUCUUCCACAAUGGACGAAAGUCUGAUGGAGCAACGCCGCGUGAGUGAAGAAGGUUUUCGGAUCGUAAAACUCUGUUGUGAGGGAAGAACAAGUACCAGAGUAACUGCUCGUACCUUGACGGUACCUUAUUAGAAAGCCACGGGUUACUACGUGCCAGCAGCCGCGGUAAUACCUAGGUGGCAAGCGUUGUCCGGAAUUAUUGGGCGUAAAGCGCGCGCAGGCGGUCCUUUAAGUCUGAUGUGAAAGCCCACGGCUCAACCGUGGAAGGUCAUUGGAAACUGGGGGACUUGAGUGCAGAAGAAGAAAGUGGAAUUCCAAGUGUAGCGGUGAAAUGCGUAGAGAUUUGGAGGAACACCAGUGGCGAAGGCG
rnacentral:rRNA from 1 species